AUGGCCUCGAGCUCCCUCCCGCUCCUCGCCCUCCUGGCCCUGCUGGCCCUGCCAGGGCUCCGGGCGGCCGUGACCCUGCUGGAGUCUGGGGGGGACCUCCAGCCCCCCGGGGGGUCCCUGACUCUGCUCUGCCACGCCUCUGGGUUCAAUUUCGGUGAUUACGGAAUGGGCUGGAUGCGCCAGAGAACCGGGAAAGGGCUGGAAUUUGUCGCCAGUAUCCACAACAGUGAUGGCAGAACAUGGUACGGGUCGUGGGUGCAGGGCCGGUUCAGGAUCUCCAGGGACAACGGGCAGAGCUCGGUGACGCUGACCAUGAACAACCUCAAGGACGAGGAUUCCGGUUCUUAUUUCUGCGUCAAAUGUGCUGACAGUGGAUGUUACAGUGGUAAUGCUGCUGCUGCUGCUAAUCCUGGUUAUAUUGACAACACCGGUUGUGCUCCCAAGCCCCCAUAA